CACGAGGACUGCCAACAAGCAACCGAAGUGGGACAAUCGCGUAAGCAGGUGGAGGAACAUGUGAAGACUUGCAGUCUCGCAGAGGCAUAGGAAUCCAUAAUUUAGCGGGUUAUCUGGCUAAAUAGAAUGCAAAACAAAAUAUUCCAGCGUACUGCCAUUAUGCACCCGCGGGACUUGUUUAAUUUAGUCUGCGAACAGUGGCUGCGUUUCCAGCAUUCUUCGUCAGAUGACGACUUGUUAUGUCGCACAUUGGUCAUUCCAGAACAUUCAGGGGUCUGAGAGGAAGCUCCAGUAACAUGGUCCAAGAAGAUGAGAGCAGUGUGACGGUGGAGCUUGAGGACUAUUGAAACACUAGAGGGCGUGCUUGCACAAAAACCACAUAUUGUUGUGCUUACCCUUUGAUUUUCAGCGAAGUUCAAUGAUGAUCCGGUUGAUUCGCUAGCCAAAUGCAUCAUUCUCUACUUUAGAUAUCUGGUCGCAUUGCAAUACACUACUGCCAUUUAGCAGACACUCCAAAGUGAAACCAAGACAAUCCAAAGUGAAUUAGAACACAACAAAAAGUAUAGUCCCAUAUAUAAGGUGCAGUACCAAGACAGACAGUAAGAAGUACAGUCUUGAUAGACAACAUGUCAAUUAAUCUACUGAGCAUUAAAACAUACAAACAAGAAUAACAGGCUCUUGAAACAGUAAAAAAUGUGAUCAGGGGUAGGUAAAAGGGCAAGUGAAGGGGUGUUUGGGGCGGAGAAGCAGUAUGAAGAUGUGGGUGUUCAGUACACAUCCGAAGAUAGCCAACAUUUGUGCUGUUCUGACUAUUGUGAGGAGCUCAUUCCACCACCAAGGCACAAGAACAGAGACAUGACAAAUGUGUCUGAUUUACUUGCCCUAGUAACUAACCAAUGGUCUAAUAUUUUCAAGAUUAUUGCAAGAAAGCCGUCUAUCCAAUUAUCCAAUUAAGGUGAUCAAUCUGUAUACAAUACUGUAGGUCUAUUGACCAACUGUGGGAAAAUAUAUUUUAUUAUGAAGGCUGUAGGAAUACCUGAUCACAUUGUGCAUUCAGUAACUUCUACCUAAUUAGCGAACAAGCUGGUCAGUCAUGUAUGGUUAUAGCCAGCAAUGAACAGUACCCUUAUUUUUAAUAUGCUAGCAAGGAAGCUCUCUAUAAUGCUAGGUACAUGAUCUUGGGUAUAUGAUGAUAUCUAUCUUAGGAGUAUGAUACCUGCCCUGAUCACCAACCACUAUUAUGAACUAGGGAGGAAACUAGCAACAAUGAUGUGUUUAUAUUAUCUUGCUAAGAAACUACCUAAUCAGUACUAUUUUACAGACUGUCAUCUUAAUGUCAAUGAUAAAAUUAUGUCUGUGCAAUACCCAGACAUUUUCUUCACUAGAGGCUGCUGAUAGCCUACUGCAUGUUGGCCAUUGUGUUUUCUCUUGUAUGUGUCUUGAGUGUCACAGCUUAAGUGGAUUAGGGUUAAGUUAUGGGACUUCUAUAA